UACGAAGGGGGCGAGCGUUGUUCGGAUUUACUGGGCGUAAAGGGCGCGCAGGCGGCUCAUUUUGUCAGGCGUGAAAGCCCCGGGCUUAACCUGGGAACUGCGCUUGAGACGGGUGGGCUAGAGAUCGGGAGAGGAGAGUGGAUUCCCAGUGUAGAGGUGAAAUUCGUAGAUAUCGGGAGGAACACCAAUUGCGAAGGCAGCUCGCUGGGACGUCACUGACGCUGAGACGCGAAAGCGUGGGGAGCAAACAGG
rnacentral:rRNA from 1 species